UUUCCGGCCUCAAUAAUGGAACGAAAAGAUAAAUAUAAACAUGCAGCUGAAAGUGUGGAAUCCAUUCGAAACAGGAGACGACACGAGGACAAUGUGGUGAGAAAAGACAAAAGACAGCAGUUGCUGAAUUCCAAGCGAUUCCGUCGAUGUUCUGCAGAAUAUCCAGAAAUCUCCAAUGAACAGGUGAUUGAGGCCACGAAGGACCUCCAGAAGAAAGGGGAUAAUCGACACAGGAGUCUGCAGACCCUCCGGAGGUCCUUUGCUCAGGGAUCAGCAUACAUUGAUGUGUUUCUCGGGAUAGAGAACUCCCUACAGUGUCUGGUAGGGCUCCUGACAGGAAGUGAUGCUGACCUCCAACUCGAGUCCGCCUGGUGUCUCACCAACAUCGCUGCCGGCACGCAUGAUCACGCCAUGGCUGUCACCAAAACAGCUGCACCAUAUCUCAUCACCUACCUGGGCAGCAGCAACCAUCUCCUGACUGACCAGUGUGCUUGGGCUUUGGGGAACCUGGCUGGGGACAGCAAGCAGAUCAGGGAGAUCCUCCAGGCACAGGGAUGUGUACUACCGCUGGUCAAGCUCAUAGAGUCUCCAACUCCUGAUGUGGUGCAGUGUGCAGCUUUUGCCUUGUCCAACCUCGCUCGGGAAUCUGCUGACAUCACCAGGGAGAUUGUGAAGUGUGGUGUCAUCCACCCCCUGUCUCUGAGACUGAAGGAGGGGACAGACAACCACAGACUCCUCUCCGAGCUGGCGUGGAUGCUGACAUAUCUCACUGCCAGCGGAGAACACACAGCAGAUAUUGUGUCCCAAGGCUGUCUGGUCCAGGUGGUGGAAUAUCUCAACAAGCUGUUACAUGAGCCUCGUCAGGAUGCACAGGCCAUGACCCCCCUGCUGCGGACACUGGGAAACAUCUGCAGUGGCCCUGACGAGUACACUCAGCUGGCGCUGGAGAACCCCAACCUGCUAUCUGUCUUUGAGAAGUUCCUCGUUUCCCCAUACAGGCACAUCGUCAAGGAGACACUGUGGGUGCUCUCCAACAUGACCAGUGAAGAGAGCGUGUGUCGAUCAGUAGCCUUUGGCCCCAUCCUGGCACACAUCAUAGAGAGACUGUCUGAUGCCUAUGAUAUCAAAGUAGAGGCAGCCUACCUCCUGUGUAAUCUGGGUUGCCAUGGCGCCGACAUCUGCACAGAGCUGAUUCACAGGGGAGCGAUGCCCCAGAUUGCGCUACUGCUCAAGUCCCCGGAUGUGGAGAUGCUGCACCUGGCGUUGUCCUUCUCAGAGAUGGCGCUGCGACAAGUAGAAGCGGCCAAGUUCCAGUUUGAGGAGAGUGACGGUGUUGCUCGGCUCGAGGGGCUGGAAUAUCAUGAGAAUGAGAUGAUCCGACAGCAGGCACAUGACCUCCUGGACUCGUACUUCAACAUCGGAGAACAGGAAGAAGAAGAAACAAACAUGUAACCAUGGUAACCAGACCUGACUAUACAUAAACUAGUGUGUAAGAAGGGAAUCCCAGCAUGGCUGUGUGGCAGGAAGCACAUCGCUGUUUUGAGAAGUAUUACAGGUCCACACAGGUGAAACAGUUCUCGGUGUUACAGCACCAUCGAGAGAGGAAUCAUGGGGGAUUUGGCUCCUGUAAACACUUAAAUCUGAUGUGCAGAGUUGCUUCCCUUACUCACUCCUGAAACCUCUGAUCAUGAGUUCAAAUCUCUUUUGGCCAUGUGUCUAGGUAUUUCAGCGCCAUAUCAAUGCAGGGUUUGCAUCAGUUUGUCUUCCUUCCCCAUAAACUGGUACUGCUCAAAGCAGAUUCAAACCCAUCUCACUCAACGUUUCUACACGCCAGCUGUGGAAGUAUUGACAACAUGGUAAUCAGAUGUAAGUAACCAUGACCUGUAACCAUAGCAACCAGGUCCAGUCAGGCAUUAUCAUGAUUAAGAAUUUCCCAUCUUCACCAAAGCCAGUUUUAGUAUUUUAGCAGUUGCGGUGUGGAACAAUCAAACCACAGAACAAUAGCAUAUGUUACAGUGUG
rnacentral:misc_RNA from 1 species